rnacentral:rRNA from 1 species
UAGCGGCGAGCGAAGCGGGAAGAGCUCAAAUUUAUAAUCUGGCACCUUCGGUGUCCGAGUUGUAAUCUCUAGAAGUGUUUUCCGCGUUGGACCGCGCAUAAGUCUGUUGGAAUACAGCGGCACAGUGGUGAGACCCCCGUAUGUGGUGCGGAUGCCCAGCGCUUUGUGAUACACUUUCGAAGAGUCGAGUUGUUUGGGAAUGCAGCUCAAAUUGGGUGGUAAAUUCCAUCUAAAGCUAAAUAUUGGCGAGAGACCGAUAGCGAACAAGUACCGUGAGGGAAAGAUGAAAAGCACUUUGGAAAGAGAGUUAACAGUACGUGAAAUUGUUGGAAGGGAAACGCUUGAAGUCAGACUUGCUUGCCGGGCAACCGGUUUGCAGGCCAGCAUCAGUUUUCCGGGGUGGAUAAUGGCAGAGAGAAGGUAGCAGUUUCGGCUGUGUUAUAGCUCUCUACUGGAUACACCUUGGGGGACUGAGGAACGCAGUGUGCCUUACGGCGGAGGUUUCGACCUCUUCACACUUAGGAUGCUGGUGGAAUGGCUUUAAACGACCCGUCUUGAAACACGGACCAAGGAGUCUAACAUGCUUGCGAGUAUUUGGGUGUCAAACCCGGAUGCGUAAUGAAAGUGAAUGGAGGUGGGAACCGCAAGGUGCACCAUCGACCGAUCUGGAUUUUUAAUGAUGGAUUUGAGUAAGAGCACGUAUGUUGG